ACAGAGGGUGCAAGCGUUGUUCGGAAUUAUUGGGCGUAAAGCGCGUGUAGGCGGCCGUGCAAGUCGGGUGUGAAAGCCCUCAGCUCAACUGAGGAAGUGCGCCCGAAACUGCAUGGCUUGAGUACCGGAGAGGAUGGCGGAAUUCCCCAAGUAGAGGUGAAAUUCGUAGAUAUGGGGAGGAACACCGGUGGCGAAGGCGGCCAUCUGGACGGCAUUGACGCUGAUGAGCGAAAGCCAGGGGAGCAAACGGGA
rnacentral:rRNA from 1 species